GUAAAUCAGUUAUAGUCCGUUCAAUGGUAAAUUUUGUGGAUAACUGUGGUAAAUCUACAGCUAAUACAUGAUACAAUGCCAGUAUUGGGUUUACUCAGUGCUGGUGGUAUUUAUUAGCAAAAACCGACAGAGUGGGGUCUUUCGCAAGGGGGAUCCUGCUUUAGUUGAAUCUAAAUAACUGUACAUAUCCUUGGUUAUACUGGGGAAAGUUUGAUCGAAUUUCUGCCCUAUCAACUUGUUGGUAAGAUAGUAGCCUACCAAGGUUUUGACGGGUAACGGGGAAUCAGGGUUCGAUUCCGGAGAGGGAGCCUGAGAAACGGCUACCACUUCCAAGGAAGGCAGCAGGCGCGCAAAUUACCCAAUCCAGACAUUGGGAGGUAGCGACGAGAAAUAUCAAGCUGAGGCCUAUGGCUUCAGCAUUGAAAUGAACGUAAUGUAAAUACUUUGAUGAGUAACAACUGGAGGGCAAGUCUGGUGCCAGCAGCCGCGGUAAUUCCAGCUCCAGUAGUGUAUUUCAAAAUUGUUGCGUUUAAAACGCUCGUAGUCGGAUGACAAGAACGUCCCGUAUUGCUGUCUUUGACAUGCAGUGCGGGGUGUUUUUUAUUCGCAAGCACUGGUUGUGGGCUUUAAUGCUUGUGGCCAGUCACUUGCGAGGCGUGCCUUGAAUAAAGCAGAGUGCUCAAAGCAAGCGUAACGCUAGAAUGUAAUAGCAUGGAACGAACAGUGUUGAUUUCUGGCUGAGUUGGUCGGUGGGGCAUACGUUUAGUGUAUUCUGUGGCAACAUAGUUUAUGCGGCGUGUGCUACCGUCGGUUUUUAGUGCCCGCAAGGGUAACGGAAGCCGCCGGACUCAGCUGGGUCCUGGUUAAAAGGGACAUUUGAGGGCGUUAGUACUUGAUGGCGAGAGGUGAAAUUCUUAGACCCAUCAAAGACUGACUAGUGCGAAAGCAUUCGCCAAGAGUGUUUUCAUUGAUCAAGAACGAAAGUUGGAGGUUCGAAGACGAUCAGAUACCGUCCUAGUUCCAUACAGUAAACUAUGCCAACACGGAAUCAGUCCGAAAGGGAUUCAGGUUGGUUCCCCAGUGAAAACUCAAGUUUUCGGGUUACGGGGAGAGUACGAUCGCAAGGUAGAAAUUUAAAAGAAUUGACGGAAGGGCACCACAAGGAGUGGAGCCUGCGGCUUAAUUUGACUCAACACGGGGCAACUCACCAGGUCCGGACAUUGAAAGGAUUGACAGACUGAUAGAUCUUUCAUGAUUUAAUGAUUGGUGGUGCAUGGCCGUUCUUAGUUGGUGGAGUGAUCUGUCAGGUUUAUUCCGGUAACGAGCGAGACCACGGUGUCUAGUUAAUGGCAGGCUGUUAUACCUCUGGUUAAUGGCUUGAUUCUAGACAGACAACCGGAUUGAAGCCGGGGGAAGCGUGGCAAUAACAGGUCUGUGAUGCCCUUCGAUGUUCUGGGCUGCACGCGCGCUACAAUGGCAACGACAGAAAGCUUAGUUGUGUCGAGAGACCCGACGAACCAGUAAUCGUUGUCGUGAUUGGGAUUGAGCCUUGUAAUAUUUGCUCA
rnacentral:rRNA from 1 species